UACGGGGGGUGCAAGCGUUAAUCGGAAUCACUGGGCGUAAAGGGUGCGUAGGCGGUACGUUAGGUCUGUCGUGAAAUCCCCGGGCUCAACCUGGGAAUGGCGGUAGAAACCGGCGCACUAGAGUAUGGGAGAGGGUGGUGGAAUUCCAGGUGUAGCGGUGAAAUGCGUAGAGAUCUGGAGGAACAUCAGUGGCGAAGGCGGCCACCUGGCCCAAUACUGACGCUGAGGCACGAAAGCGUGGGGAGCAAACAGGAUUAGAUACCCUGGUAGUCCACGCCCUAAACGAUGAAUACUAGAUGUUUGGUACCUAGCGUACUGAGUGUCGUAGCUAACGCGAUAAGUAUUCCGCCUGGGAAGUACGGCCGCAAGGUUAAAACUCGAAGGAAUUGACGGGGGCCCGCACAAGCGGUGGAGCAUGUGGUUUAAUUCGAUGCAACGCGAAGAACCUUACCUGGGCUUGACAUGUCCGGAAUCCUGCAGAGAUGCGGGAGUGCCCUUCGGGGAAUCGGAACACAGGUGCUGCAUGGCUGUCGUCAGCUCGUGUCGUGAGAUGUUGGGUUAAGUCCCGCAACGAGCGCAACCCUUGUCCUUAGUUGCCAGCGGUUCGGCCGGGCACUCUAGGGAGACUGCCGGUGACAAACCGGAGGAAGGUGGGGAUGACGUCAAGUCCUCAUGGCCUUUAUGUCCAGGGCUACACACGUGCUACAAUGGCGCGUACAGAGGGAAGCCAAGCCGCGAGGUGGAGCAGACCCCAGAAAGCGCGUCGUAGUUCGGAUUGCAGUCUGCAACUCGACUGCAUGAAGUCGGAAUCGCUAGUAAUCGCGGAUCAGCAUGCCGCGGUGAAUACGUCCCCGGGCCU
rnacentral:rRNA from 1 species